AUUGAACGCUGGCGGCAGGCCUAACACAUGCAAGUCGAGCGAGCGGCGGACGGGUGAGAAAUGUAUGGGGACUGCCCGAUAGAGGGGGAUAACUCCUGGAAACGGUAGCUAAUACCGCAUACUAUCGGAUAACCCAUAUGGGAUUAGCUAGUAGGUGGGGUAAUGGCUCACCUAGGCGACGAUCCCUAGCUGGUCUGAGAGGAUGAUCAGCCACACUGGAACUGAGACACGGUCCAGACUCCUACGGAGGCAGCAGUGGGGAAUAUUGCACAAUGGGCGCAAGCCUGAUGCAGCCAUGCCGCGUGUAUGAAGAAGGCCCUAGGGUUGUAAAGUACUUUCAGCCGGGAGGCGUUACCGACAGAAGAAGCACCGGCUAACUCCGUGCCAGCAGCCGCGGUAAUUC
rnacentral:rRNA from 1 species